rnacentral:rRNA from 1 species
AGCGAACGCUGGCGGCAGGCUUAAUACAUGCAAGUCGAGCGCCCGUAGCAAUACGGGAGCGGCAGACGGGUGAGUAACACGUGGGUGACCUGCCCUCAGCUCUGGGAUAAGCCCGGGAAACUGGGUCUAAUACUGGAUAUGACUCCAUGACGCAUGUUGUGGGGUGGAAAGCCUUGUGCGGCUGAGGAUGGGCCCGCGGCCUAUCAGCUUGNGGUGGGGUGAUGGCCUACCAAGGCGACGACGGGUAGCCGGCCUGAGAGGGCGACCGGCCACACUGGGACUGAGACACGG